rnacentral:rRNA from 1 species
GGCGGACGGGUGAGUAAUGCCUAGGAAAUUGCCCUGAUGUGGGGGAUAACCAUUGGAAACGAUGGCUAAUACCGCAUGAUGCCUACGGGCCAAAGAGGGGGACCUUCGGGCCUCUCGCGUCAGGAUAUGCCUAGGUGGGAUUAGCUAGUUGGUGAGGUAAGGGCUCACCAAGGCGACGAUCCCUAGCUGGUCUGAGAGGAUGAUCAGCCACACUGGAACUGAGACACGGUCCACACUCCUACGGGAGGCAGCCGUGGGGAAUAUUGCACAAUGGGCGCAAGCCUGAUGCAGCCAUGCCGCGUGUGUGAAGAAGGACUUCGGGUUGUAAAGCACUUUCAGUCGUGAGGAAGGUGGUUGAGUUAAUAGCGGAUUUAUUUGACGUUAGCGACAGAAGAAGCACCGGCUAACUCCGUGCCAGCAGCCGCGGUAAUACGGAGGGUGCGAGCGUUAAUCGGAAUUACUGGGCGUAAAGCGCAUGCAGGUGGUUUGUUAAGUCAGAUGUGAAAGCCCGGGGCUCAACCUCGGAAUUGCAUUUGAAACUGGCAGACUAGAGUACUGUAGAGGGGGGUAGAAUUUCAGGUGUAGCGGUGAAAUGCGUAGAGAUCUGAAGGAAUACCGGUGGCGAAGGCGGCCCCCUGGACAGAUACUGACACUCAGAUGCGAAAGCGUGGGGAGCAAACAGGAUUAGAUACCCUGGUAGUCCACGCCGUAAACGAUGUCUACUUGGAGGUUGUGGCCUUGAGCCGUGGCUUUCGGAGCUAACGCGUUAAGUAGACCGCCUGGGGAGUACGGUCGCAAGAUUAAAACUCAAAUGAAUUGACGGGGGGGCGCACAAGCGGUGGAGCAUGUGGUUUAAUUCGAUGCAACG